rnacentral:rRNA from 1 species
CGUGGGUGACCUGCCUUCGAGCGGGGAUAACGUUCCGAAAGGGACGCUAAUACCGCAUAACAUCCUGCCCUUGAACGGGUGGAGAUCAAAGCUGGGGAUUCGCAAGAACCCGGCACUUGAAGAGGGGCCCGCGUCUGAUUAGCUAGUUGGUGAGGUAACGGCUCACCAAGGCAACGAUCAGUAUCCGGCCUGAGAGGGCGGGCGGACACACUGGGACUGAGACACGGCCCAG